GACGAACGCUGGCGGCGUGCCUAAUACAUGCAAGUCGAACGAGAGCGCCCGGUGCUUGCACUGGUCAAUCUAGUGGCGAACGGGUGAGUAACACGUGGGUAACCUGCCCAUCAGAGGGGGAUAACAUCCGGAAACGGAUGCUAAAACCGCAUAGGUCUUCGAGCCGCAUGGCUUGAAGAGGAAAAGAGGCGCAAGCUUCUGCUGAUGGAUGGACCCGCGGUGCAUUAGCUAGUUGGUGAGGUAACGGCUCACCAAGGCCGUGAUGCAUAGCCGACCUGAGAGGGUGAUCGGCCACAUUGGGACUGAGACACGGCCCAAACGCCUGCGGGAGGCAGCAGUAGGGAAUCUUCCGCAAUGGACGCAAGUCUGACGGAGCAACGCCGCGUGAGUGAAGAAGGUGUUCGGAUCGUAAAACUCUGUUGUUAGAGAAGAACAAGUGCUAGAGUAACUGUUAGCGCCUUGACGGUAUCUAACCAGAAAGCCACGGCUAACUACGUG
rnacentral:rRNA from 1 species